UACGGGGGGAGCAAGCGUUGUUCGGAUUUACUGGGCGUAAAGGGCGCGUAGGCGGCCUGCUAAGUCGAACGUGAAAUCCCCGAGCUCAACUCGGGAACUGCGUCCGAUACUGGUUGGCUUGAAUCCGGGAGAGGGAUGCGGAAUUCCAGGUGUAGCGGUGAAAUGCGUAGAUAUCCGGAGGAACACCAGUGGCGAAAGCGGCCACCUGGACUGCACCUGACGCUGACACGCGAAAGCUAGGGGAGCGAACGGG
rnacentral:rRNA from 1 species